UACAGAGGUCCCAAGCGUUGUUCGGAUUCACUGGGCGUAAAGGGUGCGUAGGCGGUCGGGUAAGUCUGGCGUGAAAUCUCCAAGCCUAACUUGGAAACUGCGUUGGAUACUAUCCGGCUCGAGGAAUGGAGGGGAGACUGGAAUACUUGGUGUAGCAGUGAAAUGCGUAGAUAUCAAGUGGAACACCAGUGGCGAAGGCGAGUCUCUGGACAUUUCCUGACGCUGGGGCACGAAAGCCAGGGGAGCAAACGGG
rnacentral:rRNA from 1 species